UGGCUGCACAUCUUCAGUCAUGUAUUCUUGUCCCCCUGAAAAUGAUAGCAAGUCGUUUCUCCUGAGCAUCAGCCCCCCAGGCCCCAGCCCUUGGCGUUUCCAGGAGGCCCUGUUCUUAGAGCGCCUGACAAAGAGAGCACUUACUUCCUGGGCUGGUGCACCCCGACACGUGGCCCUGACACUCAGCGUGGCCCGACGCCCAGUGAGCCCCGCACUCCCGGCUUUGCUCUGCCCAGCAAAUUUGGCGCCCAGAGGUGGCAAGGGCCAGGGAGCCUGGCCCGGGUGUGAGAAUUCGGAGAUGCUCGUCUCCAGCUGUCACUACCGUAAUGGGACCCUGGUGCUGUGUGGUAUGGACAGGGAUGUGAUGGGGCAGCCGGCUAUGUCCAUGGCCAGGGUCAGGGCUGCAAACCAGGGGUCCCACCUGGCCACGUCUGCCCAGGGCCCUUCCAUUCCACCCGAAUGCUGUCCCAAUGCUUACUCCUUGGAUUGUGGCCCCUCCAUCCCCCAAGUGGAAAUUCCAAAGGAGGCCACGUUGCACCUGGCCUGUGCUGCUCCUCAGACCCCAGCCCCCAGCGAGCCAAUGUCCCCACCUCGUUCCUGCUCUCAUUCCCAGGUUGGGCACUCGGGGCUGCUCCUCUGUGGGCCCAGCAGACCCUUCACAAGUGGGACCCAAGAUGUCACUGACUCCAACCCAGAGGGGUGAGCCCCUGCACCCUGCCUGGGGCCCUGAGGUGUGGAGCAGUGACUGGGGUGGGCAUGGUGUGUCCUGUGUGACUGCCCAGCCGCAGAGGCCUUCCUUUAUGAGGCCGCUGCCCAUCCACACCCCGACUGGCCAAGGCCUCCACAUCCUCUGAGUCUGACCCUGGAAAUCCAAGGGCCCUGGAGUCUUCUGCCUUCCCCACUUCCCCGUGAGCAUCUGCAAAGCACUUGCCUGAAUACAUAUCACGUGUUUUAGACUCGAGGCCUCGAACACUGGAUUGUGGUCCCCUGCCCCUCUGUCCCCUGUCCCCCUGCCCAAGUGACUGAAACCUACUGAGCUAUAUUCACUGUCCUGGGGGAGGGAGAGGAGAGCUCCCCUGCACUGCGGCCUGGUGGGGGGGGCAACGGGCCCCUCCCAGCCAGGGACACCAGGACACAGCUGCUCCUGGCCAGUGGAGGUCAGCCGGGUAUCAAAAGCCAUGAAACUGUGUCUCUGUAGCAAUGAGUGAUACUGUGACGAAAAUGUUCUUGCAUUCUCCCGAGAAGGGUUCCUCCGCCCCUUCCAUUCCAUUUUUGUGUUUGUUUUGUUCUUUUCUGUCACUGAUUCAUAUUACCACUUUUGGAAAAAAUAAAAUAGAAUAAAUAAAAGGCAGCUUGAGUUUCCAAACGUGCGACUCACUUGUGAACAAAAGUCACUCGAACGAUCGCCUUCAGGGCCGUGCGCAUCGCCUCUGCUCUUUCAGCCCGAGGGGCGCUGAGCCCUGGUGUCCGAACCCGUAACUUACAGCGUGUGUGUGCGCACUGACUUUGUCCCUUAAGGUAUAUGGAGAGGAUCCUGGUGGAAUCGCAGACCUGUGCCGCCCGCCACCUUUUGCCAUCGUUAUGUUACAGAUUUGGUUUUGUUUUUGUUUUUUUCCUUUUAGAACUGUAUAGCGUUGAAAAAGAAAUCAAAUACAAAUGUCUGGUUUCCAUAUAACGUUUAAAAAAGACCAUUGAGAAGGAGGCUGGCGCUCACCCCGUGUCCCCCUUGAUUGUAAAUGGCUUCUGUUCUGUUUAGAAGUAAACCGUGCAUGACUCCUGCUUAAGCAGUCAUUAUCGUGUCUGUUGGUGAAAUUUUUAUUAAAAGGAAAAUUCCGUAGAUGCACUUAUUGAAUAUGUGAUUAGGACCGACGUCCGAGACUAGGAGUCCUGAACUGCCCACGCAGAAAAGGCGCAGUUCGAAAUUAAUGUGGAAAUCGCUGUGGGAGAAGGAUGAAGGAGACGUGAAGUGUCGGGAAUCAUUAAAAUAACAAUUUUGCAAAUUGCAUUCUGAUGCUUGUGAUAAAGACAAAUGUACUUGUGUAGAGAAAUUUCCUGAAGAUAAAGCCUAGGAGAAGCUGAUUUUGAGGUUAAUGCUGUAGAAUAGGACUGUAUCUUUCCAAUGCUACAAUGAAUUUAUACAUGAGAUUGAUAUGCAAUAAAUCUGUGUGCUUUUCUAA